rnacentral:rRNA from 1 species
AGUGAACGCUGGCGGUAGGCCUAACACAUGCAAGUCGAACGGCAGCACAGUAAGAGCUUGCUCUUACGGGUGGCGAGUGGCGGACGGGUGAGGAAUACAUCGGAAUCUACUUUUUCGUGGGGGAUAACGUAGGGAAACUUACGCUAAUACCGCAUACGACCUACGGGUGAAAGUAGGGGAUCUUCGGACCUUGCGCGAUUGAAUGAGCCGAUGUCGGAUUAGCUAGUUGGCGGGGUAAAGGCCCACCAAGGCGACGAUCCGUAGCUGGUCUGAGAGGAUGAUCAGCCACACUGGAACUGAGACACGGUCCAGACUCCUACGGGAGGCAGCAGUGGGGAAUAUUGGACAAUGGGCGCAAGCCUGAUCCAGCCAUACCGCGUGGGUGAAGAAGGCCUUCGGGCUGUAAAGCCCUUUUGUUGGGAAAGAAAAGCAGCAGGUUAAUACCCCGCUGUUCUGACGGUACCCAAAGAAUAAGCACCGGCUAACUUCGUG